CUCCCACCUGGUGCUGUGGCCAUGCCCAGAUGCCGUUCCCCCAGGAAUCUGCACUUGGCGCACAUGCACUCCCUCUACAGUGCUCCUGGGGACUUCCUUCAGCUUGCACCACUGAAGAUGAGCUGUGAGGGUAACACCUCCCUUGGAAGGGUACCUGUGCUUCUUUCUUCUUUCCCUGCUACAGAAGUCACCAAUUCACUGGUGGCGAUGUGUUCUGCCAGCUGAAAUAGCCAUUUUGCUGCCCUCUGAGGUCAAGACUCUUCUCUAGGAGGAAGUCUAUGUUGCAUAAGGGCUUGCCAACACAGGGAAGUUUGUGCCAUCAAAACACUUGUGCAAACACAGCGCUAUAAUGGCAGGCUGCUGGGACUCUCCCUGUCCUCCAGGAAUUCAAGCUGUGCAUCAACAAGUAGAAUGAUGAACCUGAUAAAUGUCAGAUGAGUCAUCGUGCCCAUGGAUUUACCAUGACCCAAAAGCAGCUCCUUGCCCCCUCAUUAGUACCAGGCAGUGCGGCGUGUAUAUUGUACAUCACUGGAUGUGGGGGCACAGCUUUGCCCUGCACUGCAACCAGCGCUGUGCCUUACCAUGAUCUUCUGAGUUAUAAUUCCAUAGCAACUCAUACAGAACAACAGAUUUAGGAGAAUAGAUAUGACACUGACUGCAGAGCUAUUCAGGAUAUUUAUUUUAAUCCUUCCAACUUGGAUGGGAUAAAUUCUCCCUCCUGUCCCUGUGAUGCACACUCUUCUCCAUGACUGGACUGCAUUUUAAAGGAGGGGGUGUAAAUGCUUCUUCCCAUGUGAUUUGUCUGAAUAACAAGUUAAUGGUGAUAGCUAUUCCAGAGUAAACAUCAGUAGAUAUU